GGAUGUGAGGGCGAUUGGGCUGUGACAUCUGUCACCCAUCGGUCUCCAGGGUUGAUCUGGCUGACCCGGGUGUCCCCUUUUUCCCUUACCACUCCGUGUGCGCCCUUCCCAUCAUGUACUUGCUAAGCUCUGUCAGCUCCCUUUUGCGCCAGCAUGGAGUGUGAGGAGUGUGUGAAGCACUGGUCACAGUGAUGUACUCACUACAGUGCAUGACCAAGGCAGAUGAAAGUAACUCUUUUCACUGGGCUGCUAAUUGGCUAGUCCUUGAUG
ensembl:misc_RNA 7SK 7SK RNA